CAUCCGUGCCCCGGCCCGCUCCAUGCUAAACCAGAGAAUGAAGCCAACAUCUCAGCGGACGUAACACGCAACACAACUGUCUCACAGAGUCGGCCUGUAUUCUGGCCAGGAGUUGGGAGUGUGUGGCCUCGGAGCCGUGCGCAAUAAACCAUGCGCUGCGUUGGAUUCCUGAGUUGCUGCAUCCCUUCGCGGCUACCUCCCCUGUUGCCUGAGAAGUUGUGCCUUCACUUACUGCAAGUGGCUCCACCUCUGAAGCGGGCCUCUGCGCUCCAGCUACUGCUGUUCUGUCUGUGGUUUCACCUCGGCAAGCUCACUGCUUGCCUGUAAGGAAUUGGUAGUAAUACCAGGGGUGCUAAGCACCAGCUACUGGUCGAUAGUGCAGUCACCCAAGACUGCAAGACCAGGCAGACCAACCUGUGCACCGCCUGGAUUGACUACAGGAAAGCCUAUGACUCAGUGCCACACACAUGGAUACUGGAAUGCUUGGAAAUGUACAACAUCAACAGGACACUAAGAGCCUUCAUCAAGAACUCAAUGAGGCUGAGGAAAACAACUCUGGAGGCCAACUCAAAGCCAAUUGCACAAGUUACCAUCAAGUGCGGCAUAUACCAAGGUGAUGCACUAUCCCCACUGCUGUUCUGCAUAGGCCUGAACCCCCUCAGCCAGAUCAUCUCAAAGAGUGGCUACAGAUACCGGUUCCAAAGCAGAACAACCAUCAGUCACCUCAUCUACAUGGAUGAUAUCAACUAAUAACUUGCAGAGUGUGAAGUUUGGCAAUGUGGUACUGCCUCAACCAACACACAUCAGCCACUAGGGUCACUAGGGACGCCCACUGCCUGCAAGAUUAGGACUGUAACUGGGGGGCUGGCUGUGCUCCUGAGGGUGAAGGCAGGGAACUCUGCAACUGUCCAUGAGUUUUGGAUGGCCAGCAUCAUUGGGCUGUACUUGUUGACCCACUGAGACUUUGGCCCUUCAGCAGCACCAGGGAGAGGGAGCGAGACAUGCCAAGUCAGACUCUCCAUCUGCCGUGCCACUACCAGCAACGUGCACACCACCUAUCCAGUUACCAUACACCCACACCCAAACUGCACACCACCUGUCACACAGCAGAAGUAUUGGUUUUAUUUGAUUCCUUGUGUUUAUAUUUUUUAUAGUUGGUGUGGUUAUUUUAUAUUGCAUGAUUCUGAUUGCAUUUAGAAUUGCUUUUAUUGUUGUUUGGUUUUAUUUGCAUGCUUUUAGUUUGAAUUUUGCUGUGUUGAGUCAAUGCAUAUUUACUUCCUCACACUGUGAUUACUAAAUACUUGCACCUGGUGGAGCCCUUGUACGUGAUAGAGUGUGUUACAAACCAAUGGAAGAAGAGACUUCAGCCUAAUUGUUAUGGAUAUUCCAUAACUGACCAGGACAACAGAAUGUCAAGCUGUACUCCUCUGUUCUCUCAAACAGAAGAUAACACAUGUUGUUUAAUAAAC